CCUGGCGCUGAGGUAUGGAAUUACGUUUGUUCCAAAAAUAAUGAACGUAACUUUUCAAAAAAACUAAUAAAAAUAUAAAUUGAAACUGAAUAAAAUGUCUUUGAAACUUAAAAAAAUAAAUCACAGGCAAAAUGUUUGACUUUGUUUUUAAUACACUGCAUGUUUUGCUAACAGUUUCUUUUCGUUCUUUCACUGAUCUUUACUUACAAAAGCAUUUCCAGAGUUUUCAUUUAUGCUUCUGAAGUUUUCGUUUACGAUCCCAAAGUUUUGGUUCGUCUUUCUGACACAAAUCUCUCGCGGGGGCGGGGCCAGCAGUGGUGUGUUCUCAUUGGCUUACUGAGUUUUUGAUUGACAGCUUCUUCUUGACCUGGAAGUGAAGACGUCAGCGUUGUGUUUACAAUUACAUGUGUCGAGGUGAGCGUCUGUAAGCGGCUUCUUAUUUCAUUUUAGUGAUGUAAAGAUAGGAGUUUUUAUUAUUUUAUCUGUAGCUGCUGCUACUAUGGUGAGAUGAUUUCUUAGGCCUAGCACAGACGAAUGAUAUAAUCAUCAUUAUCAUCAGUCAUCGUCGUUAUCUGGAUACUCGCGGGAGUGGAGCAACUUUUCCAUUAACAACAUUCUGAUGCUGACCCAGAGAAGGGAGUGGUAGCCCCAGAGAUCCACUGUCCCCAACAGACAAGAAUCUUAUUUUGUUCAGACACAUCACCUUUGACUGACUGGGAUCUUGAUCUUCAGACACCAAAUAUUUUAAUUUUUUUGGAGCUCUAGAUUAAAACAAGACACAGUUCACAAACACACAAGAGGUUGUACUUUAUUCUUAUUAGUCCAUACUGAUCUUGGAUUAGCAUACCAAAAACAUAUGAAUGUUAAAGUGAUAGUUCACCCCCAAAAAAUUCUCAUAUAUUUUACUCACCCUCAUGCCGUCCAAGAUGCGUAUUACUUUCUUUCUACAGAUAAACAUGAAUUAGGAUUUUUAGGAAAAUAAUACAUGUCUUCGAGUCCUAAAGACACAUUAAUCCAUGCGACCCCAGUGGAUGAAUCAAUGUCUUCUGAAGUGAAACAAUAGAUGAGAAAAAUACUAAUAAUUUAAACUGUUUUAAUUAUUAACAAUCGUUUCCCACCAACCAUCAUACAUGUAUGGGUUACAGUCCACUUAUGAGAUGGACACAGAGAUGGACUAUUUUCUUAAAGAUAUUUGUGCUUAUGUGGAGAAAGUCAUACAGUCAAACCAAAAAUGUAUUCAGACAACAUGAACAUUUCAUUCCAUUCAUUACGUUUAUUCACUAUAGUUUAAAAAAUGGUAAUAAAAUGAAUUUUAUGAAUUUUACACAUGUAUUCUAUAAUAGGUGCUUGUGCAUUUUUAUAGUAAUGUACUGUAUAUCAUGAGAAUACUGUGGAUUACAUGAAUAUGCAGUUAGUGUUUUGUGGAUUCUGGUCGUUCCUUUCACAACAUAAUUGCAUCCAACACUUUCACUUUUAUACUUGUGUGUAUGCUGUAGUGACAAUAAAGAAUUUAAAUUUA